GAGACAGAAAAAGAAAAGUCCAAGCAGGCGUACCACACCCCAGCCCCAGCGAGUGGUACAGGCAGGCUGUUAAUAAUGGGAGAGAAGGCUGAGGUACUUAACAUUUCUGCCUCAUUCUUUAUUGUCAGCUGCUCUUCACCCACCCCUUGAGUGGCUGAAAGGUGAGGACUGCAUCCCUCCUGCUGAAAGCAAAGAUCAGGUCUGCAGACGCUUGAAGAACCUGGUGGGCCCCAAUGAAACACAUCCCAGAGCUUUGAGGGAAUUGGCAUACAUAGCUGCCAAGCCAUUCUUGUUGAUAUUCCAGAAGUCCAGGCACUUAAGUGAAAUCUAUGGUGGCUGGAAAGAGGGUGAUAUCAUGCUGAUUUUAAAGAAGGGUAUAAAGUAUGACUUAGGAAACUGCCAACCUGCCAGCCUCAGCUGUGUGCUGGAAGAUGUGGUGGAACCAAUCCUCCUGGAAGCCGUGCUGGGGCACAUGGAAGAGAAGUGAAAUGAGACAACCAACCUGCUUCAACAAGGGUGGAUCCCAUCUGAACAACCUACUGGCCUUUCUUUCUACAAUGGCAUGAAGGGACCAGGUAAGAGCUGCUGCUGUCAACUGUCUGGAUUUCAGUAAUGUUUUAACACUGUCCUCCACAAUUGCAGAGAUAUGUAUUUGACAGCCAGGUUGUUCAAUGAGAGGAAAACAAAUCAAUGUCUGGAAGCUGAUCAGUGAUGACUGGUGUUCCUCAGGGGUCAGUACUGGGACUAAUGCUCUUAAUACCUUCAUUAACAUCAACAGGAGGAUCAAUUAUAUCCUGACAAGUUUGAGGAUGACACCAUGGCAUCUGAUGCAGUCAGUGCAUUUGAGGGACAGGAUGCAAUCCAAAGAGACCCAGACAAGUUCAAGCAGUGAGCAAAGUAUUUGUCAUGUGUUAGAGCUCAGCCUCAAAGGUUACCUUGGAAGAAACCAGAGAGUUCUCAGUGAACUUAAAGGAAAGGAGGUUUGUUUUUCCCUGCAAGACAGUUGCUGCCACUCUGCUCUCCAGCCAGCUCACCUGCCUUUGAGCUCAGGAAGCUCAAAAAACUUCUAUCCAGAAGUACAGCUGCAAAGAUACAAACACUGGCAACACAGCGGGUGAUCUCAUUCAGUGUGUAAAGUAAGUCUGACGCUUAUGUGGUAAUGGAAUGUUGCUUCUGCAUUUGAUAUUAAAGUAGCAAUUGGUUUGAAGAAGUAGAACAUAAUGCAUUUGUAUUUUGUAACUUAUUCUUAGAAAUAGUUAAUCUAAGUACUAAAAUACAGUGUGUUAGUGGCAUGUUUUAGAAACAUUAUUUCUGAAUUACAUGAUUCUUUCUUGCAAGACUGUAAUAGUUGUUAAAUGUUCCAAACAAUGCAAGUAUAGCAUGCUAAGGAUUGGAAAACACAUUGUAGAGCUGUUCUGUUAAGAAA
rnacentral:lncRNA from 1 species